ensembl:processed_transcript AV026068 expressed sequence AV026068
GUUUAACAGAUGCUUCGCUAUUAAAAUAUUUCCCCCCAAUACUGAAGAAUCUUAAACCAGGCUAGAGCGCCAGCGCUCCUCUGAACCGGCACACUUUGGCAAAGUUGCAGUGGCCUGUUUGCUUAGGCACUGAAGUGGAUGAUGGUUAGGAUGACAACUUGCAGAGAACGCGGAUGAGACCUUCAGUUUGUGCCCACACUCAUUUGCAGCAACCCUAACAGAGAUUGUGAAGAUUUUCAAAGUGGGGCACCUCGAUUUCUCGAAUCUGUGGUGUGGCGAAUAUCCGUGUUCCUCCUGCUUAACUAGCCUGUUUGAAGGCACAGUUCAUUCUCGAGCAAUUCGUCACCUCCUGGGGGUCUUCUCUUCCCGUCUACAGGAGAGUGUGACUUCAGAAAGAACUUCGGAUUGGCCAAGGUAUAUGUCAGAUUAGACCCCAGGGAAAAGAGCAAAGGUGUAGGGCUCAUGCAGUCAAGGUCUCUGGUGAGAGCGCCCCUAGUGCCGUUUUACUGUCUCUGCUCUUGAAAAUUCCCUUUGAUACAAGUUCCAAAGCUAGUCACAGACGACCAACUUUGAUCAUUUCCAAACCUCGGGCUUUCGAUCUUAAACCUGGUUGGAAUUUUGGCUCAAGACUAGAUCAACCU